GAGGAGUGGCGAACGGGUGAGUAACACGUGGGUAACCUGCCCAUCAGAAGGGGAUAACACUUGGAAACAGGUGCUAAUACCGUAUAACAAUCGAAACCGCAUGGUUUUGAUUUGAAAGGCGCUUUCGGGUGUCGCUGAUGGAUGGACCCGCGGUGCAUUAGCUAGUUGGUGAGGUAACGGCUCACCAAGGCGACGAUGCAUAGCCGACCUGAGAGGGUGAUCGGCCACAUUGGGACUGAGACACGGCCCAAACUC
rnacentral:rRNA from 1 species